CCCGCUGAACUUAAGCAUAUCAAUAAGCGGAGGAAAAGAAACUAACAAGGAUUCCCCUAGUAACGGCGAGUGAAGCGGGAAGAGCUCAAAUUUAAAAUCUGGCGCAAGCCCGAGUUGUAAUCUAGAGAGGCGUUUUCCGUGCCGGACCAUGUACAAGUUCCUUGGAAUAGGUCAUCAUAGAGGGUGAGAAUCCCGUCAAUGACAUGGACUACCGGUGCUCUGUGAUGCGCUUUCAAAGAGUCGAGUUGUUUGGGAAUGCAGCUCAAAAUGGGUGGUAAAUUCCAUCUAAAGCUAAAUAUUGGCGAGAGACCGAUAGCGAACAAGUACCGUGAGGGAAAGAUGAAAAGCACUUUGGAAAGAGAGUUAAACAGUACGUGAAAUUGUUGAAAGGGAAACGCUUGGAGUCAGUCACAUGGUCGUGGACUCAGCCUUGCUCUUGCAUGGUGCAUUUCUACGUUCAUGGGUUAACAUCAUUUUUGGUUGCUGGAAAAGGGCUUGAGGAAGGUGGCACGCUCGGGUGUGUUAUAGCCUCUUGUCGUAUACAGUGGCCGGGAUUGAGGACCGCAGCACGAAUCGGGGUUCGCCCACGCCACGUGCUUAGGAUGUUGACGUAAUGGCUUUAAACGACCCGUCUUGAAACACGG
rnacentral:rRNA from 1 species